GAUAUACUAUUAUAGAUCUGUGGUGGUGCGCGCGCGUUUGGUGUAAGUGCGAAACCUGCGGGAAUGACUAAAAUAAUGCGCAAUACAAGCGCUAUUUAACCGGAGCGAAUGAGA